UUUGGAUACUCCUAGAAUAUUGGCAAUGGUAAGAAAGUUAGGUUUUGGGAGGACCAUUGGUUUGGCUCGGCCCCACUAGCUACUAUUUAUUGGGACUUAUACAAUAUUGCCAAUGAACAUGAUUGCACCUUAGAUCAAGUGUGGGAUGGCUCUGACCUCAAAAUUACUUUUAGGAGAUGUUUCUCUAGUGAGCUUCUUGUUCUCUGGUUUGAACUUUUGGAGAUUGCUAAAUCCAUUACCUUUUCUGAGACAGAAGACUCUCUAAUCUGGAACCUUAAUUCUAGUGGGGUUUAUUCUGUUAAAUCCCUGUAUAAUAUAGUUAACUUUAGGGGUGUGUUGCCUUAUAAUACUCCUGAUGUGUGA
rnacentral:rRNA from 1 species